rnacentral:rRNA from 1 species
UACGUAGGGUGCAAGCGUUGUCCGGAAUUAUUGGGCGUAAAGAGCUCGUAGGCGGCUUGUCGCGUCGGCUGUGAAAACCUGGGGCUCAACCCCGGGCCUGCAGCCGAUACGGGCAAGCUAGAAUUCGGUAGGGGAGACUGGAAUUCCUGGUGUAGCGGUGAAAUGCGCAGAUAUCAGGGGGAACACCGGUGGCGAAGGCGGGUCUCUGGGCCGAUAUUGACGCUGAGGAGCGAAAGCGUGGGGAGCGAACAGG